CAAGCUGUACUUGUACAGCGAAGUGGUUGAUGCCAUGCUUCCAGGAAAAGUCUCUAAGCUUCAGUUACACAGGAAUCGUACCCGAAACCGACACAGGUGGUCAGGUCGAGUAGACCAAGGCGCUUGAGAGAACUCUGCUGAAGGAACUAGGCAAAAUGGUACCGUAACUUCGGGAGAAGGUACGCUGUUGUUGGUGAUGGAACUCGCUUCCUGAGCUGACGACAGCCGCAGAAACCAGGCCGCUGCAACUGUUUAUUAAAAACAUAGCACUCUGCAAACACGAAAGUGGACGUAUAGGGUGUGAUGCCUGCCCGGUGCUGGAAGGUUAAUUGAUGGGGUUAGCGUAAGCGAAGCUCUUGAUCGAAGCCCCAGUAAACGGCGGCCGUAACUAUAACGGUCCUAAGGUAGCGAAAUUCCUUGUCGGGUAAGUUCCGACCUGCACGAAUGGCAUAAUGAUGGCGGCGCUGUCUCCAGCAGAGGCUCAGUGAAAUCGAAAUCGCUGUGAAGAUGCAGUGUACCCGCGGCUAGACGGAAAGACCCCGUGAACCUUUACUGCAGCUUGACACUGAACUUUGACCUUACUUGUGUAGGAUAGGUGGGAGGCUUUGAAGCUGGAACGCUAGUUCCAGUGGAGCCGUCCUUGAAAUACCACCCUGGUAAUGUUGAGGUUCUAACUCUGUCCCGUGAUCCGGGACGAGGACCGUGUCUGGUGGGUAGUUUGACUGGGGCGGUCUCCUCCUAAAGAGUAACGGAGGAGUACGAAGGUGCGCUCAGCGUGGUCGGAAAUCACGCGUAGAGUAUAAAGGCAAAAGCGCGCUUAACUGCGAGACCCACAAGUCGAGCAGGUACGAAAGUAGGUCUUAGUGAUCCGGUGGUUCUGUAUGGAAGGGCCAUCGCUCAACGGAUAAAAGGUACUCUGGGGAUAACAGGCUGAUACCGCCCAAGAGUUCAUAUCGACGGCGGUGUUUGGCACCUCGAUGUCGGCUCAUCUCAUCCUGGGGCUGAAGCAGGUCCCAAGGGUAUGGCUGUUCGCCAUUUAAAGAGGUACGCGAGCUGGGUUUAGAACGUCGUGAGACAGUUCGGUCCCUAUCUACCGUGGGCGCUGGAAAUUUGAGAGGAUCUGCUCCUAGUACGAGAGGACCAGAGUGGACGAACCUCUGGUGUACCGGUUGUGACGCCAGUCGCAUCGCCGGGUAGCUAUGUUCGGAAGGGAUAACCGCUGAAAGCAUCUAAGCGGGAAGCCUACCUCAAGAUAAGAUUUCCCUAGGACUUUAUGUCCUCUAAAGAGCCGUUCGAGACUAGGACGUUGAUAGGUUGGAUGUGGAAGCAUAGUGAUAUGUGAAGCUGACCAAUACUAAUUGCUCGUGAGGCUUGACUAUACAACACCCAAGCAGUUG
rnacentral:rRNA from 1 species